rnacentral:rRNA from 1 species
CCUACGGGAGGCAGCAGUAGGGAAUCUUCCACAAUGGGCGCAAGCCUGAUGGAGCAACACCGCGUGAGUGAAGAAGGGUUUCGGUUCGUAAAGCUCUGUUGUUGGAGAAGAACGUGCGUGAGAGUAACUGUUCACGCAGUGACGGUAUCCAACCAGAAAGUCACGGCUAACUACGUGCCAGCAGCCGCGGUAAUACGUAGGUGGCAAGCGUUAUCCGGAUUCAUUGGGCGUAAAGCGAGCGCAGGCGGACGCUUAGGUCUGAUGUGAAAGCCUUCGGCUUAACCGAAGAAGUGCAUCGGAAACCGGGCGACUUGAGUGCAGAAGAGGAGAGUGGAACUCCAUGUGGAGCGGUGAAAUGCGUAGAUAUAUGGAAGAACACCAGUGGCGAAGGCGGCUGACUGGUCUGCAACUGACGCUGAGGCUCGAAAGCAUGGGUAGCGAACAGGAUUAGAUACCCGUGUAGUC